GGCUGCAGUGAGCCGUGAUCAUGCCACUGCAUGCCAGCCUGGACAACAGAGAGACCCUGUCACAAGAACAAAAAGGUUACUUUUAGCUUUUUAGGUGAUAACAUCAUAAACUCUGAUGACUUUUUAAGUGGUCCUGUCAUAAUUUGUAAUUUGUCUAUGUUCUUGAAAAUAAGGGGAAUAAAAUUAUUUGUGAAAAUAUGUCUCAGUGAAUUUUUAAAGCCAAAUUUUCCCUAUGCUGAAAGAAUUUCCUGUGAGAACAACAAAUUUUUCGUAAAUCUCUGUUAAUACUUUCACACUACAAGGACAAAUUUUAAUUGUCAAUGCUUAGUUGCAGCUGAAGGCUAGUCUAUAUAAACUAAAUAUAAUAACAGAAGUUCAUACUUAUCAAAUGCUCACUUAUCAUGCAGUGGGGUCAGCAUUUCAUAUGGAUUAAUUUAUUUAAUCUUCACAAUCUUAAACUAUAGCAUUAUUUUCAUUCUCAUUUUAUAGACAAUAGAACUAAGACAUAGAAAAAUAGAACAACUUGUCCAACUUGGAAUAGGUAGCAUUAGGAUUUGACCUCAGUAGGCCUGAUCCCAUGAGGUUACAUUUAGGUACAUACUCUAUUAUUCUUAGGCCCAAAUUAAAAAUUUUUAUUUUUACAGUUCCUUUCUUAUUUGAUAUUUUUCACAUUUACAAAUAUCUUAAAAUAUAAGCUUUGAAAGGUGUAAAGGAAAUCCUGAGUGAGUUUAGAAGAACGAGCCUGGUGGACAGAGUAGUUGAGAGAGUCAAGCUCUAGUUCCAGGCAUGUUAAUUCCAUUCAUAUAGGAAGGAAAUAACCAAUGUCAAAAUACCACGUUUUAAUUUAAAUGUCUGUGCGUAAUGAUAUGCCAGCUUCAUCACUGUGGCUAGGCCGAGCACAUCACCAUCUAAGAGAGUAUAGACACUGGAGCCGGACUGCGCAGAUUCAAAUCCAGCUCUGCCAUUUACUGACUACAUGAUCCAGGACAAGUAACUUGCUGUCUCUGUAAUCCUGUUUCCUCAUCUGUUAAAUUGGGCUAAUAGUAUCUAUCUUAUAGGGUUGUUGGGGGAUUAAAUGAGUUUCUAUACACAAAGCAUUUAGGACAGUGCUUGGCACAUAGUCAAGUACCAUAAGGACGUUUGCUACUUUUAUAAUCCCCACCACCACCUCCACCACCAUCAUCAUCAUCAUCAGCCGACUGAAACAUUUUUGGCAACAAUUAUAUUUAUAUUUAUAUUUAAACAUUCUCAGUGUUUUCAGAAGAUACAAAAUUCAACUUAUCUUAGAUGGACUUUGCUACAUAAGGCAAUUAGAGCAACUAGAUUUCUUUUGUUUUAUAAUUUGAGUGGUAAUUUAAAAAACGAAUCAGCCAGACAUUGCCAUGACUCCAUCUGAAGUUGGGAUUUUGCACCCACUAAAAAAGGAUUUGAUGUAUAAAUUGUAUGAAUGACUACCAACUGAAACAGAGUGACGAACACUUAUCUUGAAAAUCUGAAGCUGGGAUUGGCAAAAAAAGAAAAAUUAUGAGCUACUCCCAUCUGCAAAGUCCAAGUGAUUAGGGAAACUGAAUUUGUGUUUGACUUAACUACUUUAUUUUGGGGAGAUAUUGAUAGAGGUAAGCUCUGAUAGAUUCCCACACAGUUAAAUCUUUACUUCUGCUUUCUUUGAUGAAUUAAAAUGGAUGCACUCUGAAGCCCUCUGAGAGCAUUCACAGGGAUGAGACAGGCUUUAUUCCUCCAAUACAAUUUAGUCCAACUCUGCAGCUCACCUAUGGGGAAGGCUGGCAAAAUUCCAAAGGUGAUUAGUGUUUGUUUCUAUUAUUUCACAGGGUGGUGUGUGUUUGGAUGGAUGAAAGGGAAAGCCUAUAAUUUCAUGGCUGUCAGUAGAACAUUUCUGCUAAACCACUUUUUAUCUAAAACGUUCAAGAUGGGUCAAGGGCACGGUACUAUCACCAGAAUCAAAUGUACCUAUAGAUGUUACUAAAUCUUCACUGAGCAAGCUGGAAAAAUGAAAUAUUUUCUCCAGAAGGUUGAUUACCUUUUAAUCCGUUUUGUUGAGAUUAAAAUCAUCUUUUUAAUUACUUAAACUCUGUGAAUUUCUCUCUGUAAAUAUAAGCAUUGUGAGCUUAACCUGGACCAGUUAGGAAAAAUAUUUCAUUUUAAAAUUGUGCCACCACUGUCUUGUUUAGAAAGAAUGACUUGGGUAAAACCAAAUGUUGAGUUAUCAAGUAUUUCAAUACCCAUAUUCAUCAUCUGCUGUAAGUAUAGGCAUCUUCGCAUUCUUACAGAUUCUUUGAAUUACAUUCUAAAUGACUACCAUGUAAAUAGAUUAGAACAACAAUCAUGUCAUGCUAUUUUGUUGUCAUGGGUCAUUUUAAUCAAUGUUCAGUAAUUUCAUUGCACUUGUGUAAUUAGGUGAAGAAACUCCACCCGAGCGUCCAUGGGUCAGCUAUGUGGACUCUAGCUGCCAAAGGCGCUUCUCCUUCUGAACAGAGCGCUUUGCUCAGCCAGUGUAGACAUGGCCUGAUAAACAAUGGAACUUCUCCCUUGAGAACUGGAGUUUGGAUUGAUCUAAUUCUUUAACUCAAAAAUAUGCACAGGUUUGAUGAGUGGUUAAAAUGCCUGCCUUUUAGUAAAACAAGAGCUUAAAUUGACAGUACUGUGAAGAAUUCCGUAAUUUAUAAUGAACUUGAAAGGCAGUAGCACUCACUGUUGCAAAAGCUAAUCAAGGGACUAUCAAAUCGAAGUUUUCACAUGAGCUUAAAUACCUGUGGCAGGGAGGUUGUUCCUGCAGGUUUGUAUCUGUCAGGUCUUAACACUAAACCUGUCACAGUGCAACAUGGUCCUGUCACUUUUAACCAGGAUGUCACAUACAUUGUGGGAAACACCCUGCUCCAUAUUUUUUUUUCUAGGAUUUUACCAGGAAAAGCAAAGGUAAAAGAAAACAUUUUUUUUCUUUUUUUUAACACUGCAUUUUUAUUUUGCAGAUUCUCAGGAUGAUGGAGUGAGUGUUGGAGUAGGUUGCCAGCUGUAGUUACUCCACUCAGCGCAGAAUGGCUGCGGGGAAAUAGAAUCAGACAUGCCCAAAGAAUCUGCUCAGGGUGAAACAAAUACCUUUGAGGUUUAAAUAAGAAAGGAAGGAGAGGCUGUUUCUACAGGUGUCAUAGAAAAAUCAAUACUGAGCCACGGAUUAUUGGAUCCCAUAGAACCAUCGAGACUUGGCAGUGAAAUUCUUCCAAAGGCAGACGGUGUUCCUAGGUUUGGAAAUAUAAAUCCCAUGGGAAGUCAGCUGAAGAACAUUUUAUGCAUCACUCAUCCUGUUAUGAGCCCUGUGCUGUUCCCUCUCUCUACAAGACUGGCUGAAACAACAAGAGUUGUUUACAUUUUGUACUGAUCACCUAGUUAAUACUCUGACUCUGAUUAAUACCAAAGACAGUGUUUUAUAAAAGAGAUUCUCUAUUAGAAGGAUGCUCCCGCAUUAUUAAUAAAAUCACAGGGAAAAUGCAACAUUUUGGAUGUCACAUCUGAUAAGCUUAGAAAACUAUAACUCAAUACAUCAUGCAGUAUAUUUAAAUUAAAAUAUAAAUUGUAUACAUCAUUAUUCUUGGGGAGGGGUAAUUGAGAAAGGCAUGCUUCUCUGUAACCCUGGACAAAGUUUGACUUUUGAUGUGUGAAUUCUUAAAUGUGCACAAACCAAAGACAAUGGUAUACAUACUUUGACACGUUCUGAAGUUAAAAGAGGACAUGAGGAUUGUGUGAUAAGUGGCAGCCUUGUGUCUACUAUUGUAAUGACAUAAUGUCUGCAUAAGAAGAAAAAAAGUACAAAAAACAAUGGCGAGAUGAUGGAGAAGCUGAACAUAAGUAAAGGUACCUGCUGAUGCAAUAUGAGAAUAAAAAUAUCUAGCCCUCUGUGUAUGCUGCAUAUACUGUAAUCCAUCAGAAUGGAGGCACUGCCUUUGUGGUCCAAAAAUAUUAGUGUGUUCAACACUGCUACUUUGUAUGUUUACAUUAAAAUCCCUCAUAAUAUGUAAAAUAAAUUAUCCACGUCUAAGCAAUGUGAUAUAGUCAUUCUCUGUUUGGGUUAAGCACAUCUUAUGACUUUCCUAAAGUGUCACAAAGCAAAGCAUCUACCAGAUAAUUUGUGAUUUGUAAAAUAUCAUGACCCUCUGAGGGGAAGUGGUAAUUAACGGAAGCCUAAUUAUCUUCCAUGUGAAGAGGGCCUGGGAUGCUGACUUUGGGGAAUGCAGUGUCUUUGGCUCCUUAGCAUUUUCUUGGAUUGCUUUGUUGUCGUCCUUCUGGUUCUUUCUGGAUCCAUCUCUCUUUUGUUUCCAUUUGAAUCCUCUAUUGUAUUCCAGUUGGCAGUUAAAGAACAGAAACACAGCAAUAAGACUGAGUGGCUACAUUUUCCCAGUGCCACCAACUGGGAGUUAAGCUGACUAACAUUUUGAAAGCCCAGCCCAUUUCAUUCACAGCAGGAUGGCAGUGGGUGACUGAUCGUACCCGCCAGCUGGCUAAUGUCAUAAUUAACAAAGUUGCUACUACAUCUGCAAAGUUUAAUCGAAAAAUUUGCCAGUGAUACGAUGGCAUUGUCUCAGAGAUCACAAGGGACAUGGAGUCGACUUUUGCUCAAGGUGGAACGACAGAGCUGUGUAGGCAAGAUGAGAAAUUACGAACUUGUUCGGCCAAAGGAGGCUAAUAAUGAAGGGGCCGGGAAGGAGGCCAGUGCUACCAGGGUUAUCUCACAACCUCAGAUGCUGGAUAAGUCGAAGGAGCAGAAUCGCUUUGGGAUGACAUUCAGAAAGGCUGGAGUGAUUACUUGGAAGAGAAAAGCCUACCUAUUCUUUCCAAGGUUCAGGAAUAUUCCCUUGACGUGCUCAUCCAAUGGUCCAGUAAUGAAUUACUAGAGACCUGCCUUAGACAAAGAAUGCACUUGGAGCCCCACCACACCUAAAGCCACGCUUUGAAGGAUCUGCCAAGCUCACUUUUAAUCAUGAGAAAGAAAUUACCCACACGGAGUCAGCAGAAAAUGAGAAAGUAGAGCUCGUGCUGUGAAUAAUUCCAGCAAGUGCCAAGGGGCUAGUUGAGGAAUGGCUUCAUGAGAUGUUAACCUAAAACAGCACCUUGGAUCUAAGCUGCACCUUUGAGAAAGAAAAGACUCCUUCAAGAAUGUCUAGUUGUACCUCCUUUCCAUAUUUGGCCUAAAUGCCUAGGUUGGGUCAAUAGUUUAAUUUUUGUAUUGAACUGUUUAAUGUUGACUAUGGACCUAUAUUCACUUUUACUGUUUUCUGUAUGUUUAUUUUUGCUUGAAUUGUUUUAAUAUUAUUUGCCUCUACUCAUUUUUAUUGAUUUUCUGUAUUUUUUCAAUGAAAAUCAUAAUAAAAAUUAUUUUUGUUA